UGCAGUGGAAUUGACCCAGAUGAGCAUCCCGUCAAGACAGAGCUUGAGAGGUUGAACUUGUAUCAAGAAAAGCUUGAACGGUCCAAAGAUUUGAGUAAAGCACCAUUGCGACCUUCUACCACCUUAAAUUACCAGGCUGCUACACGCUUCAUUGAGCAUUCUUUGCCUGACCUUACCCCUGAACAGAAGAAAAGUAUGAGAGAUAUCAGUAAAGGAGAAGGAC
rnacentral:misc_RNA from 1 species